GCAUUGGUGAUUCACUGGUAGAAUUCUCCCCUUCCACGUGGGAGACCCAGGUUCGGUUCCCAGCCAGUGCG
rnacentral:tRNA from 1 species